rnacentral:rRNA from 1 species
UGGGGAAUAUUGCACAAUGGGGGAAACCCUGAUGCAGCGACGCCGCGUGAGCGAAGAAGGUUUUCGAAUCGUAAAGCUCUGUCCUAUGGGAAGAUAAUGACGGUACCAUAAGAAAAAGCCCCGGCUAACUACGUGCCAGCAGCCGCGGUAAUACGUAGGGGGCUAGCGUUGUCCGGAAUCACUGGGCGCAAAGGGUUCGCAGGCGGAAAUGCAAGUCAGGUGUAAAAGGCAGUAGCUUAACUACUGUAAGCAUUUGAAACUGCAUAUCUUGAGAAGAGUAGAGGUAAGUGGAAUUUUUAGUGUAGCGGUGAAAUGCGUAGAUAUUAAAAAGAAUACCGGUGGCGAAGGCGACUUACUGGGCUCAUUCUGACGCUGAGGAACGAAAGCGUGGGUAGCAAACAGG